UUUAGGGGCUUUAUACUUUUGCUCCCCUACAUUUUUAAAUCCUGUAUUGUAUUUAUUGCUGUUUAUCUGAACCCUAUAAAGUUACUGAGAUGAAGAAAAAUAAUUAUUUGUCAAUGAAAAUAUUGCACAACUUUGUUACAGCCAGCAUAACUGGAACACCAACCACUGAUGUUUGGAGAUUAAUUCAUUAAGGACAGAAUGCAUGCAUGAACUGAGGUACUACAAUGUCAUACAGAAUGAGCACUUUUACUUUUGAUACUUAAGUAUAUUCACUAUGACUAUGGAAUACUUUUAUACCUUUUUGAGGACUUGUGAUAAAUAUCUAUUUCUACUUUUCUUGAGUAAGGGACCAUUGUACUAUAUUUAAAGUAACUAUCAGCUGGAUGGUGCACUGGAAAAGUUGUUGCACUUAAAACAGAAGGUACAGUAUUCAAAAUGUGCUCAGGGCAUCCUUUUUUAUCUCCUGAGGACAAAAAAGAGCCAUUAAUAAGACUGAGCAAAGCAUCUCCCUCAAGUCUCUUCCUAUGAUGUCUUAGCCAGAACCUGGGCAAAUGUGGAGGGAACACAGACAGUUCUCCUGACAGUGUUGAGGUCCCCCUUAAACCUCCGCUGCCCCAUAUACAAAUACACACAAAGUGGCCUGUACAGUUCCACAGAUUCAAGACUCUCUAAAACCACCAUUUUUCUUUAUACGUCUAAAAUUGUAUAGAUUUUGUUACUAGCUGCAUUUCAGAUUUAGAUGAAUAAAAUACAGUCAACAAUUAAAUUACGGUGUUUGCUUAUGGUACUUUUAUACUUUUAGUUAAGUAAAAUUUUAAAUAUAUGAAAUUUUACUUCUAACAGUAUGUAAAGCCUGGUGUUUCUACUGUCACUGAUAAAUGUGUUUCUUGCUUUAUUUUAAACACUGUAGCCUGUAACACAGGCCUCUGUGUCAGAGCUGAGAAGUGGAGAAUAUUGUGGUGACUUUGCAGCCUCUCGGCUCAGGCUUAAUUAAUGGGCCAUCAGCGGAGGGACACGCCCCCCUGCACCUGGAACUUGCCCCCCUCCCCCAACCUUUCAGCAGCGCAGCAGAGAGGAGCAGAAGAAAACAGAGCGUGGCCGGAGUUUGGAGAGAUUUGUUAGCAGGAGUUUGGAGAGAUUUGUUUGAAAAAUUUAAAGACGAAGACUUCAUCUUAACCGACGCAAGAGGCAAUUUCAGAGCAGGUCCAGGAAGAGAUCGCUAUGAGUCAAACACAGAUGGAGGUUCUGACCCCUGCGCUGAGUUAGAGAUAAGGAGAACUCACUGAUGAUGAGACCCCCAGGCUUCCACAGAAGAACAAAGUCAAACAUGAGAGAGCAAGAGAGCAUGGAGUGAGGUAGAGAGAACUGCGAUGUAGAGUGCCUGGAAAAAAGGACUGUGAGCAAUGUAUACAUGGAGAAAAGACCUUGGCUCAAGGGUCAUGGAAAGAUGUCAAACUUUGUGUACAACACAAUUGUGACCCUUAGACGAAGCGGCGCUUCACGUAUUCUUAAGAAUUCAAAAGCCAAAUGUUUUUGCCAUUUACAGUCUCCUACUGAACUACUGAUUGAUAAUAAUCUGAAAUUAAUCUAUCCUGGACCAUAUAGUGUCAGAUGAUGUACUGUAAAAAGGCAAGACUAGCCACAAUAAGCUAGUGUUCAGCGUUCCUAAAACUCAAAACCAGUUGUAAAAAAUUCAAAGGAUUAUUUUGUUUUCAUUGUACUUUGCAAGACAGUGUUCCUUGUUUUCAAUUGAUUGUCUGAUAAUAUCAAUUUUCUUCAUAUUGGCCCUCACUUUAAUUGGUGAAUUAAUAGUAGUUAUGAUACAGUACACUUUACUGUAUUUUUUGAGUUGUACAAGAGGCAAUAGUUUGUUUCUGGAAUAAUUUAUUUCUGUUUAUGCUUAAUAAACAAUGGAUUUGGGGGUGGUGAUAGCGCACUUCAAUCCCCCACUGUGAACCA